rnacentral:rRNA from 1 species
AUACGUAGGGUGCGAGCGUUAAUCGGAAUUACUGGGCGUAAAGCGUGCGCAGGCGGUUUUGUAAGACAGUGGUGAAAUCCCCGGGCUCAAACUGGGAACUGCCAUUGUGACUGCAAGGCUGGAGUGCGGCAGAGGGGGAUGGAAUUCCGCGUGUAGCAGUGAAAUGCGUAGAUAUGCGGAGGAACACCGAUGGCGAAGGCAAUCCCCUGGGCCUGCACUGACGCUCAUGCACGAAAGCGUGGGGAGCAAACAGGAUUAGAUACCCUGGUAGUCCACGCCCUAAACGAUGUCAACUGGUUGUUGGGAAUUUAUUUUCUCAGUAACGAAGCUAACGCGUGAAGUUGACCGCCUGGGGAGUACGGCCGCAAGGUUAAAACUCAAAUGAAUUGACGGGG